rnacentral:snoRNA from 1 species
AUCCCAUGAUGAGGACACUUACGCAGUUACUCCUUGAAUCGUUCCCAAGCCUCACAAAGACUCAUCAUCCAAUUGUUGGAAGAUUGUGAUCUCGUUCCUCAACUU